rnacentral:rRNA from 1 species
AAUACAGAGGGUGCAAGCGUUAAUCGGAAUUACUGGGCGUAAAGCGAGCGUAGGUGGCUUAUUAAGUCAGAUGUGAAAUCCCCGGGCUUAACCUGGGAACUGCAUCUGAUACUGGUAAGCUAGAGUAGGUGAGAGGAGGGUAGAAUUCCAGGUGUAGCGGUGAAAUGCGUAGAUAUCUGGAGGAAUACCGAUGGCGAAGGCAGCCCUCUGGCAUCAUACUGACACUCAUGUUCGAAAGCGUGGGGAGCAAACAGGAUUAGAUACCCUGGUAGUCAAGGGCGAAUUCG